rnacentral:miRNA from 1 species
UGAAGGCCACUAUCUCACCUUGUCCUCACGGUCCAGUUUUCCCAGGAAUCCCUUAGAUGCUAAGAUGGGGAUUCCUGGAAAUACUGUUCUUGAGGUCAUGGUUUAACAGCUGGAUUCGCCUCCUU